rnacentral:rRNA from 1 species
AUUACCCAAUCCCGAUUCGGGGAGGUAGUGACAAUAAAUAACAAUACAGGGCCAACGGUCUUGUUAUUGGAAUGAGAACAAUUUAAAUAACUUAACAAGGAUCAAUUAGAGGGCAAGUCUGGUGCCAGCAGCCGCGGUAAUUCCAGCUCUAAUAGCGUAUAUUAAAGUUGUUGCAGUUAAAAAGCUCGUAGUCGGAUGUCGGGCUCGGGCAAGCUGUCGGCCUCUGGUCGGACGGCAGGCUCGGGUCUUUCUGCCUGAGGAACCCGGUUGCUUUCGGGCUGCCGGUGGACGCAGGUCGUUUACUUUGAAAAAAUUAGAGUGUUCAAAGCAGGCUAGCGCUUGAAUACAUUAGCAUGGAAUAAUGGAAUAGGACUUUGGUGCUAUUUUGUUGGUUUAUGGGACCGAAGUAAUGAUUAACAGGGACAGUUGGGGCCGUUUAUAUUUCGUUGUCAGAGGUGAAAUUCUUGGAUUUACGAAAGAUAAACUUCUGCGAAAGCAUUCGGCAAGGAUGUUUUCAUUGAUCAAGAACGAAAGUUAGGGGAUCGAAGACGAUCAGAUACCGUCGUAGUCUUAACCAUAAACUAUGCCGACUAGGGAUCAGUGGAUGUCAAUUUGCGACUCCAUUGGCACCUUGUGAGAAAUCAAAGUUUUUGGGUUCCGGGGGGAGUAUGGUCGCAAGGCUGAAACUUAAAGGAAUUGACGGAAGGGCACCGCCAGGAGUGGAGCCUGCGGCUUAAUUUGACUCAACACGGGGAAACUUACCAGGUCCAGACAUAGUAAGGAUUGACAGAUUGAAAGCUCUUUCUUGAUUCUAUGGGUGGUGGUGCAUGGCCGUUCUUAG